rnacentral:rRNA from 1 species
CCUACGGGCGGCAGCAGUGAGGAAUAUUGGUCAAUGGGCGCGAGCCUGAACCAGCCAAGUAGCGUGAAGGAUGACUGCCCUACGGGUUGUAAACUUCUUUUAUAAAGGAAUAAAGUGAGGCACGUGUGCCUUUUUGUAUGUACUUUAUGAAUAAGGAUCGGCUAACUCCGUGCCAGUAGCCGCGGUAAUACGGAGGAUCCGAGCGUUAUCCGGAUUUAUUGGGUUUAAAGGGAGCGUAGAUGGGUUGUUAAGUCAGUUGUGAAAGGUUGCGGCUCAACCGUGAAAUUGCAAUUGAUACUGGUAGUCUUGAGUACAGUUGAGGUAGGCGGAAUGUGUGGUGUAGCGGUGAAAUGCUUAGAGAUCACGAAGAACUCCGAUUGCGAAGGCAGCUUACCAAACUGCCACUGACAUUGAGGCACGAAAGUGUGGGUAUCAAACAGGAUUAGAUACCCCUGUAGUC